GCCCCCAUAGCUCAAAUGGAUAGAGCGGCGGUUUCCUAAACCGCAAAUCCCUGUUCAAUUCAGGGUGGGGGUACCA
rnacentral:tRNA from 1 species